rnacentral:rRNA from 1 species
CCUACGGGUGACAGCAGUGGGGAAUAUUGGGCAAUGGGCGCAAGCCUGACCCAGCAACGCCGCGUGAAGGAAGAAGGCUUUCGGGUUGUAAACUUCUGUUCUCAGGGACGAAGAUAGUGACGGUACCUGAGGAAUCAGCCACGGCCAACUACGUGCCAGCAGCCGCGGUACUACGUAGGUGGCAAGCGUUCACCGGAAUUAGUGGGGGGAAAGGGCGUGGUGGCGGGAGCGGAAGUCAGAUGUGAAAACUCAGGGCUCAACCCUGAGCCUGCAUUUGAAACUGUGUUUCUUGAGUGCUGGAGAGGAGAGCGGAAUUCCGAGUGUAGCGGUGAAAUGCGUAGAUAUACGGAGGAACACCAGUGGCGAAGGCGGAUUGCUGGACAGUAACUGACGCUGAGGCGCGAAAGCGUGGGGAGCAAACAGGAUUAGAUACCCCAGUAGUC